GGAGAGAUGGCUCAGAGGUUAAGAGCACUGACUGUUCUUCCAGAGGUCCUGAGUUCAAUUCUCAGCAACUACA
rnacentral:tRNA from 1 species